CAGAACAGAACAGGAAGUUAGGAACUUCUAACAGGAACUGAGGAAAUUUUUUUUGGCUUUUAGCAACAUUGCAAAUUCCCUCAAGGAAUUUGCAAGGGAGUUUUUUAAAUUGCAAAAGUAAUGAGGAAAAUUGCAAUCAAUUUAGAAACUCAAAAAAGGAACGCUUCACGUAGUUUACCUGUAAUAGCAAUACAGUAAUUGCAUAUUAAUAUUUUCGGACGUGACAUAUUCUUAUUCAAAACGUACGUGACUUUCUAGAUGUUCUAAAUUUUGUGCAUCUUAAUACUUGAUUGAACAAAAUGUUGAAAGGUUUUCCUAGAUGGACAAUUUGAGCAAAAACUAGCUAUGCAACCCUCUAAUAAAAUGCCCUAGAAGUCAUUUUGCGCUGCACUAAUAUUUCACAUUGGCUAUUAUUGACUUCGUGUCAUAUUACACCUAUUAUUAAAUAUACCCGGUAAUGACCUUGAACGAAUUCAUACAGUUUCCGCAAUCAAAAAUUUUAUUCAAACCAAACUUUUUUACGUCGUUACGUACACUAGAUACUCGAAGAACUUUCGUCUUAAAGACCAGAAUUUAGCCUAGCUUUCUUUGUCCCGAACAUAAAUAUUAACCCCAGACAAUACAAAGGACAAAGCCAAAGUGAAACAUCACGAAUUCGUCACUAUUUCGGAACUACGAUUCGUCACUUCUCGUGGCUUACCAAAGAUCCGGCCCAUUUCAAAUCCAUUUCAUCUAUUCGCAGCUGAAACACAUCGCCAAGUUUAAGAGGCCUUUGACUAAAACACACGCCAUUAUCGUAUGUGUCCCCUGCCCUCGUUGCUGUAAGUUUGUCUGGGGAAAUCGCGACAAAUCGUCCUCUUUUCUCGUGAAAACCAUCCGAUUUUUCAACGCGGGUCCUCUUCGCCAUUAAAGGUUUAUCUCGUAGCUAUGUAGUUUUUAAUCCUGCAACAGAACAGUCUUUUUAUUUCCACAGAUAAUAGGAAGUUCUUUGAUAUAUUGCGCUUUAUUUUGAUAAAUUUUUGUAAAACCUGUUUCGGUUUGUUUACAACGUGAAAGCACUGUACAAGAUAACAUCGCUUG